CGGGAUGUGGCGCAGCUUGGUAGCGCACAAGUCUGGGGGACUUGGGGUCGCAGGUUCAAAUCCUGUCAUCCCGA
rnacentral:tRNA from 1 species